GUGCGCGCGGGGCACGACGGGAGGUGUGGUCCGGUCUUGCGCGGGGCACUACGGGAGUUGUGGUCGGACCGAGUGGCCGCCUGAUGCAGGGAAACUGUCAGGCCGCUCAACUCCUUAAAGGGUCCACACCGGCGGAAGACCGUCCGGCGGGUGGGCUUGGCUGUAGUUAUCAAGGUAGCAAGUCUCCGGUAGAGGCAGGCUGUGGUUCACUGGAGUCUCUAAGCUGCAGGACCUUGCCAGGGCCAGUGUUUCCAGCGUGUUUGUCACAUUGAAAGUUUGUUUGUUGCGUUUGCGCCACACCUUUUUGUGAAGGAUGUUCAGAUCACAAGGCCUAUCAGAGAUGAGCAGAAAAACAAAAGCUAACUGCGCCGCCCGGGAAUCGAACCCGGGUCGCAAGAAUGGGAAUCUUGCAUGAUACCACUACACCAGCGGCGCUGUUGAGCGGUUACGCCGUCCACAGGUUAUACGAACUGUGACGUACACUGGCCAAUGCAACAGCAUUGCGCAUGCGUCUUUUCUUUUGCGCUCCAGUUCUUGGUUGACAAGAGUUUGCAAGACAGGAUAACCCACUGGAUCCCAAAGUGUUGCUGGCGGUCCUUGAAAAGGAGAAAAGGUGGGGGACGCGAGGUUUAUAGACAGCUCGGAUUUAGUUCUGCGCCGUGGAAACCAUAGCAGUCGCAAGCACUUGGAAGCUAUGGGGCAGCGGUCAGGUCCUGACGUCCGACCGGCCAGGCCUUGAGGGCAUGGUCGUAGUGGGUGGCAACCGAGUGGAGCUUCGGGGCCCUAGACGCAGGACAUCUGGGACAGCUGUGGCUCAGAUGAGCUUUGUGUGAUGCUCAAACGGCUGGCUCCAGCUCCAGGUCCAGCAGGAGGCGGUCAAUGACAGCGAAAUGAAAUUCGAGGCGACGAGUGUGCAGAUAAGGGAGAAGAAAAGCUAUGGGUACCAUCAAGGUUGGAAAAGAUUAGAUUCAAAUGGAAAAGACCUCCUGAAAAUCUUGACUACAGAUAUGAAGGAAGAAAUCAAGAAAAACUACUCAAAUGGCUGAAAGACAUUUAAGGAAUUGCUCAACAUCCUUAGUCAUCAGAGAAAUGCAAAUCAAAAUGACUCUGAGAUACGACCUUACACCUGUCAGAAUGGCAGGUUUUUGGUUUUUCAAGGCAGGGUUUCUCUGUGUAGCUUUGGAGCCUAUCCUGGAACUCAUUUUGUAGACCAGGCUGGCCUCAAACUCAAAGAGAUCCGACUGCCUCUGCCUCCUGAGUGCUGGGAUUAAAGGCAUGCACCACCAUGCCUGGCAUCCAAUCAGGUGUUUUAGGCAGGCAAAGUAACACAGCUUUACAGAGUUAAACAAAUGUAACAUAAAAGAAUGCAACACAUCUUAAACUAAUAUCGCACAACACAUUGGUGUGGAUUUUUGUACAAAUUUAAGAUUAUUUUUGUUACAACAUACUGUAUAUAUGCUUCUACUCUUGUUUAAGGUAUUAUACCUAUGCAAUUCAUGUAAAAUGUAAUGUAAAGUUCUAGUCCUUGAAAGCUACUAUUAUAAACUAUUUAUGAUAAUUAAGAAAUGCAGGUUAGUAGUUAGUUACCUAUAACAAUCAAACUUGUAGUCAUGUUAGGUAUGUUUUCAAGGUUAAACAGAGUUGUAUAUUAGAUAGGUGGCCUUUGAAAGAUCCUAGCCCUUCAGGCUUACACCCCUAAGCCUCAGGAAGAGAGAAACUUCAAGCACCAGGAAAUGAGAAACUAAAAAUCUAGUUCCAUGGCAACCUGACUCAGCCACUACUCAAUCACUCCUGUAACAAUAUAACAAUGUAAAAAGAUUUCUGUUAAGAGAUGUGCUCAACUGUGACUGGGAUAGUUGCAGGUGUUCCAGGAAGGACCACCUUGACCUGUGUGUAAACUCCCGCUCUGAUACCCCCCUUGAGGUUUCAGGAAGAAUGUACAUGUGGACGUGACUGUACCCACUCUGUGAUCAGACCAUGAUCUUGUGAAACAAAAUUGUAUGGGAAUUGUAAUCUUAUGGCUUUUGUGGGUUUUUCCUUUAAAAGCACCCAUGUGUCUACAGUAAGAUGGACUCUUGCUCUUGGGAGCAGAGGAGCCCUUCUAUAUAGAAGCUUAAUAAAAUCCUCAUGCUGUUGCAUCAA